GAUGAACGCUGGCGGCGUGCCUAAUACAUGCAAGUCGAGCGAACAGACGAGGCGCUUGCUCCUCUGACGUUAGCGGCGGACGGGUGAGUAACACGUGGAUAACCUACCUAUAAGACUGGGAUAACUUCGGGAAACCGGAGCUAAUACCGGAUAAUAUAUUGAACCGCAUGGUUCAAUAGUGAAAGACGGUUUUGCUGUCACUUAUAGAUGGAUCCGCGCCGCAUUAGCUAGUUGGUAAGGUAACGGGUUACCAAGGCAACGAGGCGUAGCCGACCUGAGAGGGUGAUAGGCCACCCUGGAACUGAGACACGGUCCAGACUACUACGGGAGGCAGCAGUAGGGAAUCUUCCGCAAUGGGCGAAAGCCUGACGGAGCAACGCCGCGUGAGUGAUGAAGGUCUUCGGAUCGUAAAACUCUGUUAUGAGGGAAGAACAAAUGUGUACGUAACUAUGCACGUCUUGACGGUACCUAAUCAGAAAGCCACGGCUAACUACGUG
rnacentral:rRNA from 1 species